GGCCGCCGCCGGGAGGCCACGCAGCGUCCCGCCCGCACCGCCGCGGCCCGCCCCGAGCCCGGGCUCCUCACGGCCGCCAUCUUGAGCAGGGGCCGCUCGGCGCCGCCCGGCAGGUGCUGCGGGUGGGCGCCGCCAUCUUAACUCAGGGCACGCGCCGGCGGGCGCCCCGCCGGGGCUGCGCGGGGGCCAUCUUGAGCAGGGGCACGCGCUGCUCGGCGCGGAUGGUUUGCCGAGGCCAAGCCCCUGCGCAGCAAAAAUCCCAAACCAGGCCCCUCAACCGCCCGCGAACAACUGGCGGGACCCGCAGGCCGGGCGGGCUCCCUGGCGGCGGCGGCGGGGGGGGGCCGCUCCUCCUCGCGGCGCCGCCGGGCCGCGGUGUCCGCUGACGGCAGCGGCCGUUCCCGUCAUGGCCGCCCGGCCGGGGCGGCUGCCGGCGCAGCGGGGCAGGCGGAGGAGCGCGGCGGAGGCCCGGAUCCUGCUUCUCCUCUGGUUCGCGGGUGCAGCCGUGCAGGGAGCGGCGGGCUCGGAGCCGCCGCUCAAGUGCGACGAGCUGAGGCUGGGGCAAUAUAUGUGCGAUGAGCCCAAAAUAGACAAUAGUACACAAGAACCAAUGAAUUGUACAAAUCACACAGCAUAUGUUCAAUGUCUGCCAGCACCAAAUAUAACUUGCAAAGAUCACCUUGGCAUAGAAAAAGUCUUUACAGGACAUGAAGUGGGAUUUUACAAGCCUAUUGCAUGUCGCAAUGUAAAUGGAUACUCCUACAAAGUGGCAGUAGCGCUGUCCUUAUUUCUUGGAUGGUUGGGAGCAGAUAGAUUUUAUCUAGGCUAUCCUGCUUUAGGUUUGUUAAAAUUCUGCACUGUAGGAUUUUGUGGAAUUGGUAGCCUAAUUGAUUUCAUACUUAUUUCAAUGCAGAUCGUCGGACCUUCCGAUGGCUCCAGCUACAUCAUAGAUUACUAUGGAGCAAGGCUGACCCGGCUUACUAUUACCAAUGCAACCUUCAGGAAAAUGCAGACCUACCCUUAACCCUGGCAAGUCUUCUUCAAAGUUCCUUGGAUUUACCAUGGGGAAAACACGGCAAGAACAUGUAAGAGGAGAACUGACGGAGCGUUCACCUUGAGCCUGACGAGACUGCCCACCAUAUGGAUUGUGUUGGCAGAGGCAGAAGCCUGGGGAAUGCAGAGCCAGGUCCAGCUGCCAUGUUGAUUUCUCUCCACCUUGGUGGUUAUCUCUGGACCUCUGCAGCAUUCAUCCUGCCACACAUUAUUGCAGAGUCAUUAGUUAAAUAUGACACCAUGAUGAUCUUGGAGACAGUUCAGGAUGCCUGGAGCCCUGGUGAGUCUGGCCAAGAAGCAGUACUCCUUGAACCCUUCCCAGCCCCAGCUGGAGCACAGAUCAGGCUGGAAGCCACAUAUGUGCCCACUUGCAAGGUCCCAGGGAAAGGCACCCACGCCAAGAGCACCGAUGCCAAUUCCCACCGGUGGGACACCCCCAGGGACACAAGGAACAGCGGGCAGCAGGAAGGAUCCUUCAUGGAGCUCCUGGAGAUGCAGAUGAAGUAAUGGUGCUUCCCACCUUGUCCACAGGAGCAGCAGCAUGUCAGAACAUAUUAUCAGUCUGCUACAUCCCAGUGUCUGAAGCAACUGAACCUCCCCUGGAACCCAAAGGCCAUUGAAACAAGCUCUUCUUGUGGUGACCUGGGAGCUGAGAUGGAUGCUGUGGCUUGACUUGAGGCUCUGCUGCCUUGGGCCAGCUCAGCUCUCUUGCCAAUGAGCUAAAACCUCCUGUAAUCACAUUACUGUUGUUCCCAUUGCUUUUCUGAGAGCUUGUAUGAACUCUUCAUUUCUGCAGUUUGCACACCUAGAAAAAACAUCCGAAAUACAGUGAGGUGAGGAAGAAACACCAUGAAUUUUCAUCAUAUUGGUAUUUCUGGCACAAUUUACAUCAUCACUAUGUCCAUGAUGAGGAGGAGCAAUAAAUACCCUCUGCAAAGCUCAUAUUGCAAUGGAUGGGAGAGGAAGCAGUGACCUGAAGGGUGUCACAUUCUGGAAACCUGACCUGGAAAGAAAGAUCCACAAUUAACGAGAUGGAUAAGGGAGUCUCUGGGUCUUAGCACAGCUCUUUGAUUAUCAUAAAAAGAAAGCAGGUGCCAAACAGUUUUUAAGCAUCCCAUGUAUUAUCGAUGAUUUUUCUGUUGAUAGGAAGAAUUCAAAGGGCUCCUAUUAGCAUUCUGGGCAGAGCAGGAGCAGAUCUAUAGCAUGGCUCUCAAUAAAUACUGCAGUAAACUUCUUUAGCACUUUGCAAUUCACAUCUGAUCUCUGAACUUUGUUUCUCCUAAUUAAACCUUUAGCUUGCAAAUGAGCCAUUUCCUACAUCAAACUGGUACAUGGUGAAGGAGGAAACUCUACCCACAAUUUAUAGGAGUUGCUGGUGACCCAUCUGUCUAUCACAACCUUUGCUAAUUGAUCUCUCUUUGAAUUAAAUUUGACCAAUUACUUUCUCCUAGGUGAACAAAGAUGAGACUGUGCUUAAAAGCUACUGUGCUGAUGGCAGGGAACAAAGUAUGGAGUGGAUGGAAGAUAAGGAUCCGCUUGGGGCCUGCAGGGAGAUGAAGGCCAAGCACCUCCAGCACCCAAACCUUCUGGUUAUCUCAACCAGCUGUUUUCCCAGAGUGGUGUUUAUUUGAAGAUACUGGUUUUGAAGGGGUGUGCAAUCUAAGGUGACUUAGAUUGCUGCUUUUGUGAGCUCAGUUCACAUUCUCACUUCCAUACAGCAAGGAUACAAGCCCUGCUGUCACUCCCGCCCUGGUUUUGGAGCUGGAUGACCAAACCAACCUGUUCCAGGUUGCUCAUGCCCCACAGUCUUCUUCCAGUGCAGUGAUGUGGCAGCCUUUAAAGUCCCUUUCCAGUGUACCAUCCAAGAAGAAAUCCCCCAAAUCAAGAACCAGCCGUGCCUCCACUGCUCUGUCUCAUGAUGAGGGCUUAGAAAGGGAAUGAAAUACCUGAGAUGGCUGAAACAGCACGAUGUUGAACUGCUGACCUCAGGAGUUCACACACAUUCCUGACUGCACUAUAUGGUGCUUGGCGUGUCCAGAUGAGUCCCUUACCCUUCCCUGUGGCCAAAUCACAGGAGUUUGGCUGGGGCAUUGUCCUGUGGCAGCAGGGAAGGACCCUGGGUUUGACCAGACAGCAAGAAGCCGGAGCUGCACCAGCCGGCAGCAACACAAAGGGAGUUAAAUCAAUCUGGUCCAUUAAAAAGUCAUGAGUCUCACCUCAAAAUCCUCUUCAGAAGUAUAUUUCAUCUGAUUUUCCUUCAUCUUGCGGCUCCAGAGUGUGCAUUUUCAAGCCGUGCUUCUACAGCUGAAACGAUGAGACAUUUCCCUUCCUUAAGCGUUCUCCACCGCUCACCCCUUGCCUUUUACAGACUUGCCCUGCACUGUUUUCUCCUCCUUCACAUCAGACAGUAACUGAAAUAAUUUCAGCCCUUCCCUCUCCUCCCUGUACUACAGCGAAUGGGAGACCUUUCAAGCUUCCCUGCCCCAUGUCCAGGGUGGCUCCUUCAAAAUCUCAGCGGGAAAAUGCCCUUUCUCUCCAGGAACAUCGGGCAUUCCCUUGGAUGUUGCCAUUCAGCUGUGCUCACCAGCCCUGCCAGCAACGCCUCUUCCUACCUUCCUUUGGAAAAAAAAACACAAAAAAAACCCGCCCUAAACACCUCCCCAGUGGUGCCAAAAUAUUAUUUAGACUUAAGAAAACUCCCAACUCGGUUGCUGUAAAGGUGGGGGAUCACAGCCCAGAGACGGGCUCGCCAGGGGAGCAGCAUCCCAGCGGAGAAAAUGCUGGAAAAAGGCCAGGAAAAUGGCUUUUCCUUCAGCCAGGCGGGUUGUGGGAGGGCUCUUCUGUAAGGGGCUGAGGGGACCCUGAGGAAGGUUCAAGUGUAGGUCUAUCUAUUGUCCCUCCGGUCAUUUUUUCCUAAGGAAAACGCAUUCCCCUGCGCGGAGAAACCGAGCCGCGCGCGGGGUGCACGCAGAGAAAAGCAGAACGCGACGGAAAAUUCAUGUUGCAGGCCGGAGACUAAGGGAGGAGGGAGUGCAGAACAUGUCAGGUGCCUCGUCGUCCCGCCAGCCUGAAGGGGCUCGGGGGGCCCGGCCCGGCCCGGCCCUGCCCGGAGCCGCCAUCAGCGCCGGGGCCGCAGCCGCGGGGAGGGCGGGUCAGGUGACCCCCGCGAGCCAAUCGCAGCGCUCCUGCCCACGCGGCCCGACACAAAAUGGCGCCUCGGGGCCCAGCGGGGCCGGGUUCCCUUUGGCGUCGUCGUCUCCGCGCCCCGUGUCCUUGCUGGGGAGCAGUGCUGGUCACUAAGACGCGUCACCGCCGCCUGCCAUCCUGAGGAGGACCAGCUUGGCUGCUUCAAGGCUGUUGUGGGCUGUUACCAGGACCCUGGACUCAGGUACCUCCCUCUGCUGUUGAGGCCAGUUUAGGCCUUUUCUGGUUGGGAAGUAACUACCAACUGAGAAGUGUGGGCCCCGUAUUUGUAUGUAUUUGUAACUCACCAUCAUUAUUGCUACUUCAUUAAACCUGUUCUGGUUUUUUUUCCCCAA